rnacentral:rRNA from 1 species
AGCAGUAGCCGCGGUAAUGCGUAGGUCCCGAGCGUUGUCCGGAUUUAUUGGGCGUAAAGCGAGCGCAGGCGGUUAGAUGAGUCUGAAGUUAAAGGCUGUGGCUUACCCAUAGUACGCUUUGGAAACUGUUUAACUUGAGUGCAAGAGGGGAGAGUGGAAUUCCAUGUGUAGCGGUGAAAUGCGUAGAUAUAUGGAGGAACACCGGUGGCGAAAGCGGCCCUCUGGCUUGUAACUGACGCUGAGGCUCGAAAGCGUGGGGAGCAAACAGGAUUAGAUACCCCCGUAGUCCCUGUCUCUUAUACA